UACAGAGGUCUCAAGCGUUGUUCGGAUUCAUUGGGCGUAAAGGGUGCGUAGGUGGCGGGGUAAGUCAGGUGUGAAAUCUCGGAGCUCAACUCCGAAACUGCACUUGAUACUGCCUUGCUCGAGUACUGGAGAGGAGAUUGGAAUUUACGGUGUAGCAGUGAAAUGCGUAGAUAUCGUAAGGAAGACCAGUGGCGAAGGCGAAUCUCUGGACAGUUACUGACGCUGAGGCACGAAGGCCAGGGGAGCAAACGGG
rnacentral:rRNA from 1 species